rnacentral:rRNA from 1 species
UACAGGGGGUGCAAACGUUGCUCGGAAUUAUUGGGCGUAAAGCGCGCGUAGGCGGCCUUUUAAGUCGGAUGUGAAAGCCCUCGGCUCAACUGGGGAAGUGCACCCGAAACUGAAAGGCUUGAGUGCUGAAGAGGGUCGCGGAAUUCCCAGUGUAGAGGUGAAAUGCGCAGAUAUCAGGAGGAACACCGGUGGCGAAGGCGGUUCUCUGGGCCUUACCUGACGCUGAGGAGCGAAAGCAUGGGGAGCAAACAGG